CAGCAGCCGCGGUAAUACGAAGGGUGCAAGCGUUACUCGGAAUUACUGGGCGUAAAGCGUGCGUAGGUGGUGGUUUAAGUCCGUUGUGAAAGCCCUGGGCUCAACCUGGGAAUUGCAGUGGAUACUGGGUCACUAGAGUGUGGUAGAGGAUAGUGGAAUUUCCGGUGUAGCAGUGAAAUGCGUAGAGAUCGGAAGGAACAUCCGUGGCGAAGGCGACUAUCUGGGCCAACACUGACACUGAGGCACGAAAGCGUGGGGAGCAAACAGGAUUAGAUACCCCUGUAGUCCCUGUCUCUUAUAC
rnacentral:rRNA from 1 species